rnacentral:piRNA from 1 species
UGAUAGGAACACUUAUUCCCGAAGUCGCA